rnacentral:rRNA from 1 species
CCUACGGGAGGCAGCAGUGAGGAAUAUUGGUCAAUGGACGAGAGUCUGAACCAGCCAAGUAGCGUGAAGGAUGACUGCCCUAUGGGUUGUAAACUUCUUUUAUAUGGGAAUAAAAUGUUCCACGUGUGGGAUUUUGUAUGUACCAUAUGAAUAAGGAUCGGCUAACUCCGUGCCAGCAGCCGCGGUAAUACGGAGGAUCCGAGCGUUAUCCGGAUUUAUUGGGUUUAAAGGGAGCGUAGGUGGAUUGUUAAGGCAGUUGUGAAAGUUUGCGGCUCAACCGUAAAAUUGCAGUUGAAACUGGCAGUCUUGAGUACAGUAGAGGUGGGCGGAAUUCGUGGUGUAGCGGUGAAAUGCUUAGAGAUCACGAAGAACUCCGAUUGCGAAGGCAGUUCACUGGACUGCAACUGACACUGAGGCUCGAAAGUGUGGGUAUCAAACAGGAUUAGAUACCCGAGUAGUC